rnacentral:rRNA from 1 species
UAAGACGAACCGUGCGAACGUUAUUCGGAAUCACUGGGCUUAAAGCGCGUGUAGGCGGGCCGGCACGUCUCUCGCUGAAAGCCCCCGGCUCAACCGGGGAAGCGGCGGGGAUACGACCGGCCUGGAGGGGGGUAGGGGGGACGGGAACUCACGGUGGAGCGGUGAAAUGCGUUGAGAUCGUGAGGAACGCCCGCGGCGAAAGCGCGUCCCUGGACCUCGCCUGACGCUGAGACGCGAAAGCCAGGGGAGCGAACGGGAUUAGAUACCCCGGUAGUCCUGGCCGUAAACCAUGGGCACUGGGUAGGGGGCUCGCCGAUGGGCCCCCUGCCGCAGGGAAACCGUCAAGUGCCCCGCCUGGGGAGUAUGGCCGCAAGGCUG